rnacentral:rRNA from 1 species
UACGAAGGGGGCUAGCGUUGCUCGGAAUCACUGGGCGUAAAGGGCGCGUAGGCGGCUCGUUUAGUCGGGUGUGAAAUCCCAAGGCUCAACCUUGGAACUGCAUUCGAUACUGGCGGGCUAGAGACCGGAAGAGGUGGGUGGAAUACCCAGUGUAGAGGUGAAAUUCGUAGAUAUGGGGAGGAACACCGGUGGCGAAGGCGGCCACCUGGACGGUCACUGGACGCUGAGGCACGAAAGCGUGGGGAGCAAACAGG